rfam:Triticum urartu cultivar G1812 contig140066, whole genome shotgun sequence.
GCUCGAGAAGCUCAGUUGGUCGAGCGGAACAUUGAAGCUGUUUAGGCCGUAAGUUCGAAUCUUACCUUGGGCA